AGAUGGCAGAAUACUACGAUGGAGCCUGAAGUCUCUUGGGCCCAUAAAUAGAUCUCUCAAGGGACUGAGUGAACACACUGUUGUGCUGGAAGUGCACUGAGUCGAGACCAGAGAGAAAAGGAGAGAAGGAGGAGGAGAAGGAGAGAACGAACAACUGGAGAGGAGCAGCACAUCGGACACCACCUAUUUAUCACCCCGACUCCCCCCGUCCACCACCGAAGGGAGAAAGAUGGAGCCGAUGAAGACAGCAAAGUGUGAGCAAAAGAAUCCGAAGUGAAAGGAUGCUCUUCCUUGAUGCAACCUGGRCUCAAACCUGCAACCUUGGGAUAACAUGUCUGCAGCACUGAUCACCAAGCCCAGCUGA